CCCAAAAUUUUAAUAAUGUAAAAACAUCAUUAAAGGAUCAAAACAAUUUGUCCUUUAGAGUUUUAGGGCCUAAACGUAAAAACGUAAACUUUUGGGCCAAAAUGCAAAAAACACAAAAGUAUCAAAACUUUAUGUUAAUUGCACAAAAGGCCCCAAAAGGACCCCCAUUAGGGGUGGCCGGCCAUUUGGAGUGAACAAGUGAAAAAAUUAAAUUUUUGAAAAAAUUUUUGCAAGUUGAUUAAAGUACGUAAGCAAGUGGAUUGGUUGGUGAAGAAAGUCUUUGCAAACUUUAAAGACUUGUAAGAAAAUGUAAGAAAAUGUUUUGUAAACAUUAAUGACAUUUUCCUUUCUUCACCCUUAAGUUAUAAUACAAAAUUAAUAAACCAAAACUUUAUGAAAAACAUAAAACCUUUAAAUCAAAACUUCAAAACUUUUUGUUCUUGGCAAGAACUUCAAGAACAUGAAGAACAAACAUGAAAAACUCAUAAUAGCUCCAUGGAUGUUUUCAUUCACCAAAACUCAAUUUUUCACCACUCAAAAGAGGGCUAAUAUCCUAGGGUACUUAGGGGUUCCA
rnacentral:lncRNA from 1 species